GAAAAAUACAUAAUACCAAAAGGAUAUUCAGUAAAGAGUAAUUCUAACUUAUACAAAGAUAACAUGGCAACCAAGAAAAGUUUAUCUCUUCUGUUGUCUUUGUUGAUGGUCUUUACUCUCAUAAGCCUUUUUCCUACAAUUACAGGCAAAGAAGGAGAAUGCCAACCACAAGGAAAAUGCGAGGGCCAGACGCCGGUAUUGACAUGCAAAAAAAAAUGUUUUCAUCUGGGUUACGAACUUGGAGGAACUUGCUUAACUCAUAUAGGUGGUCCAAACGAGCAAACUACUUAUUAUUGUUGCUGCAAUGUACCUUCUUGGUCGUAAUUUAAUAUGUAUCCGCCACUUUUUUUCAUCCAAAAAGUUAGUAUCCUCAAAUUAAUA